UGAAACUGAACGUACUUUGGUUAGUCAUUCUGCUUGUAUCGACUUCCGUCUGUUCAAUACAGAUACCUGUCAUAUUCCAUAGCUGUUCUUUAUUUUUCUUCCCUUGAUCGUCACCUCGUAACCAAGAACUGCUUUCCCGGCGCUCUGCGAGGAUCUUGCUACUUCGACUUCGUUGGUAUGUAUUGUCCUUGACACUUCGGAAAUCGGAAAAGGCCGCGCAAGAUAAAUUGUUGAUAUGGAUUCGAUCAAUGAAGAGGAUUUGCA
rnacentral:misc_RNA from 1 species